GACGAACGCUGGCGGCGUGCUUAACACAUGCAAGUCGAACGGGCCUGUCUUCUUUUUUGGGGGGUGGGUUGAGUGGCGAACGGGUGAGUAUCACGUGAGUAACCUGCCCUUCGGUCCUGGAUAACCGCUUGAAAGGGCGGCUAAUACGGGGUGGUCCGGUUGGUCCGCAUGGGCUGGUCGGGAUAGAUUCACUGUUUUUGGUGCUUCGGCGGGGGAUGGGCUCGCGGCCUAUCAGCUUGUUGGUGGGGUGAUGGCCUACCAAGGCGGUGACGGGUAGCCGGCCUGAGGGGGUGGGCGGCCACACUGGGAAGGGGAUACGGCCCAGACUCCUGCGGGAGGCAGCAGUGGGGGGUAUUGCACAAUGGGCGGAAGCCUGAUGCAGCGACGUCGCGUGAGGGAUGGAGGCCUUCGGGUUGUGAACCUCUGUUUCCGGUGGUGAAGGCCCUGUCCGUGUGGUGGGGUUGACGGUAGCCGGGGAUGAAGCGCCGGCUAACUACGUG
rnacentral:rRNA from 1 species